UACGUAGGCAGCGAGCGUUGUUCGGAAUUACUGGGCGUAAAGAGUGUGUAGGCGGUGCUCUAAGUUCGGUGUGAAAUCUCCCGCUUAACUGGGAGGGUGCGCCGGAAACUGGAGUGCUCGAGCGUGGGAGAGGAAAGCGGAAGUUCCUGGUGUAGCGGUGAAAUGCGUAGAGUAUCAGGAGGAACACCUGCGGUGUAGACGGCUUUCUGGACCAUUGCUGACGCUGAGACACGAAAGCGUGGUAGCAAACAGG
rnacentral:rRNA from 1 species